GCGGACGGGUGAGUAAUGCUUGGGAAUCUGGCUUAUGGAGGGGGAUAACUACGGGAAACUGUAGCUAAUACCGCGUAGUAUCGGAAGAUGAAAGUGUGGGACCGCAAGGCCACAUGCCAUAAGAUGAGCCCAAGUGGGAUUAGGUAGUUGGUUAGGUAAAGGCUGACCAAGCCGACGAUCUCUAGCUGGUCUGAGAGGAUGACCAGCCACACUGGAACUGAGACACGGUCCAGACUCCUACGGGAGGCAGCAGUGGGGAAUAUUGCACAAUGGGGGGAACCCUGAUGCAGCCAUGCCGCGUGAAUGAAGAAGGCCUUCGGGUUGUAAAGUUCUUUCGGUGAUGAGGAAGGUGUUUGUUUUAAUAGGACAAGCAAUUGACGUUAGUCACAGAAGAAGCACCGGCUAACUCCGUGCCAGCAGCCGCGGUAAUACGGAGGGUGCGAGCGUUAAUCGGAAUAACUGGGCGUAAAGGGCACGCAGGCGGUGACUUAAGUGAGAUGUGAAAGCCCCAGGCUUAACCUGGGAAUUGCAUUUCAUACUGGGUCGCUAGAGUACUUUAGGGAGGGGUAGAAUUCCACGUGUAGCGGUGAAAUGCGUAGAGAUGUGGAGGAAUACCGAAGGCGAAGGCAGCCCCUUGGGAAUGUACUGACGCUCAUGUGCGAAA
rnacentral:rRNA from 1 species